UGUCGUUGUCCUAAACGAUUUUUUUAUGAGCAUGGAGGGAGUAUAUACUUUAUUAUUAUUAGGAGAACAUUACAAAAGAAAUUAUAAUUUGCCUAUCCUCUUUGAGCUAAGUCUCAUUUGGGUCCUUUAUUUAUUUUUUUCUGGAUUUUUUUUAGAUCUUUUGAAAGCCAAAAUGCUUCCAAAAGCCAAAAGCAAGAAGCUCCAUAUAGUGAGGCUUGGUUUUUUUAUGGAUUAUGUGAACUGCUUGGUUUUUGGAAAGUCCAAAAGCUAGUUUAAAAGUGGUAAAAAAAACUCCUAACGUUCCUGUUACGUGGAUCUACUAGUACUAGCAGCUAAAAUUAGCAAGUGAGACCACACAUUACUAGUAGCAAUCACUACUACUACAAAAAUGAUUUGUAGCAAUGUCUUUCUUUUUUAGGGGCGGCUAU
rnacentral:lncRNA from 1 species